UUGGUUAAGUUAGAAAGGGCGCACGGUGGAUGCCUUGGCACUAGGAGCCGAAGAAGGACGGGACUAACACCGAUAUGCUUUGGGGAGCUGUACGUAAGCGUUGAUCCAGAGAUUUCCGAAUGGGGGAACCCACUAUCUUUAGUCGGAUAGUAUCCUUACGUGAAUACAUAGCGUGAGGAAGGCAGACCCAGGGAACUGAAACAUCUAAGUACCUGGAGGAAGAGAAAGAAAAAUCGAUUUCCUGAGUAGCGGCGAGCGAAACGGAAAGAGCCCAAACCAAGAAGCUUGCUUCUUGGGGUUGUAGGACACUCUAUACGGAGUUACAAAAGAAAGUUAUAAAUGAAGCGGUCUGGAAAGGCCCGCCAAAGACGGUAACAGCCCGGUAGUUGAAAUGGCUUUCCCUCCAGAGUGGAUCCUGAGUACGGCGGAACACGUGAAAUUCCGUCGGAAUCCGGGAGGACCAUCUCCCAAGGCUAAAUACUCCCUAGUGACCGAUAGUGAACCAGUACCGUGAGGGAAAGGUGAAAAGCACCCCGGAAGGGGAGUGAAACAGUUCCUGAAACCGUGUGCCUACAAGUAGUUAGAGCCCGUUAAUGGGUGAUAGCGUGCCUUUUGUAGAAUGAACCGGCGAGUUACGAUUUGUUGCAAGGUUAAGCGGAAAAAGCGGAGCCGUAGCGAAAGCGAGUCUGAAUAGGGCGCAUAAGUAACAGGUCGUAGACCCGAAACCAGGUGAUCUACCCAUGUCCAGGAUGAAGGUAAGGUAAUACUUACUGGAGGUCCGAACCCACGCACGUUGAAAAGUGCGGGGAUGAGGUGUGGGUAGCGGAGAAAUUCCAAUCGAACUUGGAGAUAGCUGGUUCUCUCCGAAAUAGCUUUAGGGCUAGCCUCGAGGUAAAGAGUCAUGGAGGUAGAGCACUGUUUGGACUAGGGGCCCUUCUCGGGUUACCGAAUUCAGAUAAACUCCGAAUGCCAUGUACUUAUACUCGGGAGUCAGACUGCGAGUGAUAAGAUCCGUAGUCGAAAGGGAAACAGCCCAGACCACCAGUUAAGGUCCCCAAAUAUAUGUUAAGUGGAAAAGGAUGUGGGGUUGCUUAGACAACCAGGAUGUUGGCUUAGAAGCAGCCACCAUUGAAAGAGUGCGUAAUAGCUCACUGGUCGAGUGACCCCGCGCCGAAAAUGUACCGGGGCUAAACAUAUUACCGAAACUGUGGAUGAACCUCUUUAGAGGUUCGUGGUAGGAGAGCGUUCUAAGGGCGGUGAAGUCAGACCGGAAGGACUGGUGGAGCGCUUAGAAGUGAGAAUGCCGGUAUGAGUAGCGAAAGAAGGGUGAGAAUCCCUUCCACCGAAUAUCUAAGGUUUCCUGAGGAAGGCUCGUCCGCUCAGGGUUAGUCGGGACCUAAGCCGAGGCCGAUAGGCGUAGGCGAUGGACAACAGGUAGAGAUUCCUGUACCAGUGCUAAUUGUUUAACCGAUGGGGUGACACAGAAGGAUAGGGAAUCGCACGAAUGGAAAUGUGCGUCCAAGCAGUGAGUGUGAGAAGUAGGCAAAUCCGCUUCUCGCGAAGCAUGAGCUGUGAUGGGGAAGGAAAUUAAGUACGGAAGUUCCUGAUUUCACGCUGUCAAGAAAAGCCUCUAGGAAGAGUAGUACUGCCCGUACCGCAAACCGACACAGGUAGAUGAGGAGAGAAUCCUAAGGUGAGCGAGAGAACUCUCGUUAAGGAACUCGGCAAAAUGACCCCGUAACUUCGGGAGAAGGGGUGCUCUAUUAGGGUGCAAGCCCGAGAGAGCCGCAGUGAAUAGGCCCAGGCGACUGUUUAGCAAAAACACAGGUCUCUGCAA
rnacentral:rRNA from 1 species